AUCCCCUCUAGGCACUAAUGUAUUUAUUUGACAUCCUACACAUUCUUUUGGUACAUCAAACUUGAGACUUGGGCCAAUUGUGAUGCCAGCUGUCUAAUACCAUAGCAUUCUAGUGUCCUUAAGGAGGGAUAGUAUAAACUUCUGCUGUGAGAUUACUAUUCUAUCUUUUGAGUGAGCAAAUCUCAAUUCCUGUGAAGCAUUCCAAUAUUCUAAGGUGCUUAAUUUUUUAUUUGAACUCCUUUAGCAAGUUGCUCCAUUAGUUUUCCAUUUUCCUCCUUGUCAUCUCUUGUUAUAACAAUGCCCCUUACAAAAAGAACCGAGCUGAACCAUGUACCAAUGAUUUUUUGAUAAUGGAAC
rnacentral:lncRNA from 1 species